rnacentral:rRNA from 1 species
CCUACGGGAGGCAGCAGUAGGGAAUCUUCCACAAUGGGCGAAAGCCUGAUGGAGCAACGCCGCGUGGGUGAAGAAGGUCUUCGGAUCGUAAAACCCUGUUGUUAGAGAAGAAAGUGCGUGAGAGUAACUGUUCACGUGUCGACGGUAUCUAACCAGAAAGCCACGGCUAACUACGUGCCAGCAGCCGCGGUAAUACGUAGGAGGCAAGCGUUAUCCGGAUUUAUUGGGCGUAAAGGGAACGCAGGCGGUCUUUUAAGUCUGAUGUGAAAGCCUUCGGCUUAACCGGAGUAGUGCAUUGGAAACUGGGAGACUUGAGUGCAGAAGAGGAGAGUGGAACUCCAUGUGUAGCGGUGAAAUGCGUAGAUAUAUGGAAGAACACCAGUGGCGAAAGCGGCUCUCUGGUCUGUGACUGACGCUGAGGUUCGAAAGCGUGGGUAGCAAACAGGAUUAGAUACCCGAGUAGUC